GAGAAAUAAUAUUUUCAAGAACUGUUGCAAUAUUUUAUGAUCGAGUGUGAAAUUACAUGUACAUGUAUUUAUGAGUGAAAUUUAUUCAUAUCCCAUGUGAACAGCUGGACUGUUUUUUUUCUAUAGGUUAACUUAGUUGAAUUAUUUGAGAUGCAUGUUUAUAGUGCUGUGUAUGUGUAUAAACAAUACAUUAAUGGAGUUUUAUUUACUGUUAACAGAAGGUGCAGAUGUGUUGUUGAAUCGGAUAUAAAUAUCUUAAUACACUAUGCAUAAAAAUGAUCUGAUUAUCAAAAGGAAUGUGACAAUUUAUAAAAUAAAGAUGGGUGAAUUU
rnacentral:misc_RNA from 1 species